GAUGAACGCUGGCGGCGUGCCUAAUACAUGCAAGUCGAGCGAACAGACGAGAAGCUUGCUCCUCUGACGUUAGCGGCGGAGGGGGGAGUAACACGUGGAUAACCUACCUACAAGAGAGGGAUAACUUCGGGAAAAAGGAGCUAAUACAGGAGAAUAUAUUGAAUCGCAUGGUUGAAUAGUGAAAGACGGGUAUGAAGUUACCGAUAGAGGGAUCGGCGCCGCAUUAGCUAGUUGGUAAGGUAACGGCUUACCAAGGCAACGAUGCGUAGCCGACCUGAGAGGGUGAUCGGCCACACUGGAACUGAGACACGGCCCAGACUCCUACGGGAGGCAGCAGUAGGGAAUCUUCCGCAAUGGGCGAAAGCCUGACGGAGCAACGCCGCGUGAGUGAUGAAGGUCUUCGGAUCGUAAAACUCUGUUAUUAGGGAAGAACAAAUAUGUAAGUAACUGUGCUCGCCUUGACGGUACCUAAUCAGAAAGCCCCGGCUAACUACGUG
rnacentral:rRNA from 1 species